ensembl:miRNA MIR1286 microRNA 1286
UGUCCUCUGGGGACUCAGCUUGCUCUGGCUGCUGGAUUGAAUUAGCUGCAGGACCAAGAUGAGCCCUUGGUGGAGACA